UCGAGAGGCUUUGGCAAUGGGGGAAACCCUGACCAAGCGACGCCGCGUGGAGGAUGAAGGCCCUUGGGUUGUAAACUCCUUUUGCAGGGGAAGAAAUGCGAUCAGGUGAAUAAUCUGGUCGUUUGACGGUACCCUGCGAAUAAGCUCCGGCUAACUCCGUGCCAGCAGCCGCGGUAACACGGGGGGCGCAAGCAUUGUCCGGAAUCACUGGGCGUAAAGGGCGCGUAGGUGGCCACCAUAAGGCCGCGGUGAAAGUUCGGGGCUCAACCCUGAAUCGGCCGCGGCGACUGUGGGGCUUGGGCACUGUAGAGGCAGGCGGAAUUCCGGGUGUAGCGGUGGAAUGCGUAGAGAUCCGGAAGAACACCAGUGGCGAAGGCGGCCUGCUGGGCAGUGGACCGCAAGGUCCAGUAGCCGACACUGAGGCGCGACAGCGUGGGGAGCAAA
rnacentral:rRNA from 1 species